rnacentral:rRNA from 1 species
GGGCCCGCACAAGCGGUGGAGCAUGUGGUUUAAUUCGAUGAUACGCGAGGAACCUUACCAGGGCUUAAAUGUAGGAUGCAGUUAAGCCUAAGAGAUUAGGCUAUUUCUUCGGACUUCUUACAAGGUGCUGCAUGGUUGUCGUCAGCUCGUGCCGUGAGGUGUCAGGUUAAGUCCUAUAACGAGCGCAACCCCUAUUUUUAGUUGCUAACAGGUUAAGCUGAGGACUCUAGAGAGACUGCCGGUGCAAACCGUGAGGAAGGUGGGGAUGACGUCAAAUCAUCACGGCCCUUACGUCCUGGCUACACACGUGCUACAAUGGUAUGGACAGCGAGCAGCCACCUGGCGACAGGGAGCGAA